rnacentral:rRNA from 1 species
CGGUUCUGGGGGUCGGUUAAAGACCCUGGGAAUGUACCUACCCUUCGGGCGUAGACUUAUAGCCCAGGGUGUCAUGCGACCUCCCGGGACCGAGGAACGCGCUUCGGCUCGGAUGUUGGCGUAAUGGUUGUCAGCGA